CUUGCUGACACCAUGAUCAUUUGUCAGAAGAAAAUGCCUUGUGAGCCAGGAUAUGCAAAUUGGUUGGAGGUAACCCUAACUGAGUAAGUCAACGAAGGAAUGAGAGUUGGCCCAAAGGUGUUGCAAUGUAGGAAAUGUCAUUCUGGCUGAGAGCACCGACUAUCAUUGGAAGGAAUAUAUCAGGACUUGGGAGUUUGAUCACAAAGGACCACCUCAUUGAACAAAGGUGGCUCAUGCAGUUUCCUAAGACAGAUCUUUGUGGUAACCUGUCUGUAACGCAGCUAAGACAGAAGAAUCACCAUUGGCUACACAGUAAGUUCCAGGCUAGCGUGGGCUACAGAGUAAAGUACGGUGUCAAAAAACAACUGCCCAGAUAACCAAUGAAAGACCUGUAUUACAAACAAAGCAGAAAUACAAAAUAUCCCCAAACCAGAACUUCUUGGGCACUACUGUGGUCUGAGUGUGGAAAGUCCACUGUAGGUUCAUAGGUGGGAAACUCUGGGCCCAGCUGGUUUCACUGUUUGGGAAGGUUGUGAAACCUUUAGGAAAUGGAGGUUUGCUGGAGGAAGUGGGUCACUAGGGGACAGGCCUUGAGGUUACAUAAUCUGCUCCCAUUUCUCUUUCACUCUCUGCUUCCUGGUGGUUGACUAACAAGCCUCUUGCUCCAGGCCAUCACCAUUAUGAUAAAAUGUGUCAUCCUGUACCUUGAUGCAGAACAAAUCCUUCCUUCUGCAAUGGCAUCUUGUGGAUAUUGUGUCAUAGCAGGAAGAAAAGUAGCUAACAGAGACACCAAGAUGAUGUCACCUGUGGCAAAAUCUACUGCCUGUGAAACCUUACACAGAGUUAUUGAAAUAUAUAUCUACCUUCAAACUAUGCUCCAGGAAGAACGUGCUGAGCCUGGGGAGCUGGAGAGGGAGAGAGGCCAUUAUGGCCAUCACAAUACCAUCAACAUGUCACAGUAGCCAG
rnacentral:lncRNA from 1 species